CUACGGGGGGCUGCAGUCGGGCAUAAUCUACAAUGCGCGCAAGCGUGAUAGUUUGAGCCAGAGUGUUUUUCUAUUGAAAAACUUUUGUGGAAUAUAAAAAGUUUCACGAAUAAGGACUGGGUAAGACUAGUGCCAGCCGCCGCGGUAAUACUAGCGGUCCAAGUCGCAGCCAUUUUUAUUGGGUCUAAAACAUCCGUAGCUUGCUUAAUAAGUUUCUUGUGAAAUUUGGUGUCUCAAGCAUCGAGCGUGCAAGAAAUACUGUUAAGCUAGAGACUGGGAGACGUAAGAAGUAUGUUCAGAGUAGUGGUAACAUGUGUUAAUCCUGAGCAGACUAACAACAGCGAAGGCAUCUUACGAGAACAGUUCUGACAGUAAGGGAUGAAGGCUAGGGGCGCAAAACGGAUUAGAUACCCCGGUAGUC
rnacentral:rRNA from 1 species